rnacentral:rRNA from 1 species
ACUGAAUAGAUACCCUGGUAGUCCACGCUGUAAACGAUGGGGUGCUAGCUGUUCGGGGGGUUUACCCCUGAGUAGCGCAGCUAAACGCGUUAAGCACCCCGCCUGGGGAGUACGGUCGCAAGAUUAAAACUCAAAGAAAUUGACGGGGACCCGCACAAGCGGUGGAACAUGUGGUUUAAUUCGAGGCAACGCGAAGAACCUUACCAGGGUUUGACAUGCUCUCUAUGGAUUGCUGAAAGGCGAUCCUUCACUUCGGGUGGGAGAUGCACAGGUGCUGCAUGGCUGUCGUCAGCUCGUGUCGUGAGAUGUUGGGUUAAGUCCCGCAACGAGCGCAACCCUCGUCCUCUGUUGCUAACAGGUUAUGCUGAGAACUCUGAGGAAACCUGCCGGUGAUAAGCCGGAGGAAGGUGGGGAUGACGUCAAGUCCUCAUGGCCCUUACACCCUGGGCUACACACGUGUUACAAUGGCAGUGACAAUGCGCCGCUAACCCGCAAGGGUACGCUAAUCGCAAAAAGCUGCCUCAGUUUGGAUU